GAUUUAUUUGCCAAAGGAACGUGGCAAGGACUUGGGCUACGUGUUAACUAGCAGUGAAAAUGAUUCAUCUUAUACUUGCAGUAGUAGCAAUAGGUACAUGCCUAGCUCUAUGUCCAGAUACUUUUGAACGCCAUAGUGAUGUCUGCUAUAAAGUUGUGGCCAUAAAAGCAAACUGGAUAGACAGCAGAGAAUAUUGCAAGUUAUUUGGUGGCGAGUUACUAAGGAUAGAGACGGCCGACGAGCAGAUAAUCAUCGAUGGCAUAUUAACUUGUGUA